UCUUUGGGAGACGACAUGGCAUUGUGACCUGUUAGGAGGUAAUCCUGUUGCAAAAUUCUGCCAGGAGACUGGGGGAACUGCAAUGAUUCUCCUCUCUCCUGCUAACUUGCUGUGUGACCUGGGUGACCUGCUUUCAGUUUGGAAGUUAUAACCAGUGGCCGAAUGAGAACAAUACUUUCCUUAUAAAAGAACAGAAGAGCCAAGGAUUCUUCAAAGAUUCCUGGGCACUGAGAAAACAAACUCCUGAGAUUGCCAUAUGAACCCAGCCCAGCCAGCCUACUAGAGAAUGAGAGACCACGUGGGGAAGAGCCUACCAGGUGAGGUCAUCUUAGACUGG